rnacentral:lncRNA from 1 species
CCCCAACAACAAGAAGGGUUUAGUUCACCAUUGUCAUGGUGAACCUAGAUGAAAUAUGACGAAGAAAUGGAAAAGCAAACCCUAGAAAAGACGAAAAGGAGCCUAAGCAUCCAAGAGAUCCUCUCCAAGGAGUGAAAAGUAGGUCUGGCCGCCAUCUUCUGUCAAAAGAAUGCAUCUCCAAUCGCAAUAGGGCUAUUUAUAGCUG